CCCUUAGAUGUUCUGGGCCGCACGCGCGCUACACUGAUGCAUUCAACAAGCCUAGCCUUGACCGAGAGGUCCGGGUAAUCUUUGAAACUGCAUCGUGAUGGGGCUAGAUUAUUGCAAUUAUUAAUCUUCAACGAGGAAUGCCUAGUAAGCGUGAUUCAUCAAAUCGCGUUGAUUACGUCCCUGCCCUUUGUACACACCGCCCGUCGCUCCUACCGAUUGAAUGUGUUGGUGAGGAGCUCGGAUUGGCAGCAGUUGGUGGUUCGCCACCGGCUAUUGCUGAGAAGUCCUUCAAACCGCCCCAUUUAGAGGAAGGAGAAGUCGUAACA
rnacentral:rRNA from 1 species